AAGUCAUGUUGAGGGCAAUGUCGUAAAAAUCUCUGGUAACGCUCCUAAGCUUCCUAUGACGACUCCCAUUCUCAUUGUUGAAAAUUUUGUAUGUUUCUUUUAAGCUU